rnacentral:rRNA from 1 species
AUUGAACGCUGGCGGCAGGCCUAACACAUGCAAGUCGAACGGUAACAGGAAGACUCUUGCUUCUUUGCUGACGAGUGGCGGACGGGUGAGUUAUGUCUGUGAAACUUCCUGAUGGAGGGGGAUAACUACUGGAAACGGUAGCUACUACCGCAUAACGUCGCAAGCCCAAAGAGGGUGACCUUCGGGCCUCUUGCCUUCGGCUGUGCCCAGAUGGGAUUAGCUAGUAGGUGGGGUAACGGCUCACCUAGGCGACGAUCCCUAGCUGGUCUGAGAGGAUGACCAGCCACACUGGAACUGAGACACGGUCCAGACUCCUACGGGAGGCAGCAGUGGGGAAUAUUGCACAAUGGGCGAAAGCCUGAUGCAGCCAUGCCGCGUGUAUGAAGAAGGCCUUCGGGUUGUAAAGUACUUUCAGCGGGGAGGAAGGGAGUAAAGUUAAUACCUUGGCUCAUUGACGUUACCAGCAGAAGAAGCACCGGCUAACUCCGUG